rnacentral:sRNA from 1 species
CCAUAGCCCCGAUAGGAGCGGAAAUCCUUUUUAUGGCGGGGUUCGGCCCAAAAAGAUUGAAGCGGAUAGCGGGAAAUAGC